rnacentral:rRNA from 1 species
UGGGGAAUUUUGGACAAUGGGCGAAAGCCUGAUCCAGCAAUGCCGCGUGUGUGAAGAAGGCCUUCGGGUUGUAAAGCACUUUUGUCCGGAAAGAAAUCCUUGGCUCUAAUACAGUCGGGGGAUGACGGUACCGGAAGAAUAAGCACCGGCUAACUACGUGCCAGCAGCCGCGGUAAUACGUAGGGUGCAAGCGUUAAUCGGAAUUACUGGGCGUAAAGCGUGCGCAGGCGGUUUGCUAAGACCGAUGUGAAAUCCCCGGGCUCAACCUGGGAACUGCAUUGGUGACUGGCAGGCUAGAGUAUGGCAGAGGGGGGUAGAAUUCCACGUGUAGCAGUGAAAUGCGUAGAGAUGUGGAGGAAUACCGAUGGCGAAGGCAGCCCCCUGGGCCAAUACUGACGCUCAUGCACGAAAGCGUGGGGAGCAAACAGGAUUAGAUACCCUGGUAGUCCACGCCCUAAACGAUGUCAACUAGUUGUUGGGGAUUCAUUUCCUUAGUAACGUAGCUAACGCGUGAAGUUGACCGCCUGGGGAGUACGGUCGCAAGUUAAAACUC